CUCUUAACCUUGUGGUCGUGG
rnacentral:misc_RNA from 1 species